rnacentral:lncRNA from 1 species
GGAUACUUGCCCAGCUUUCCGUAAGAGCUGAGUUGCUGUUGCCCAGAGUGCUGUGCUGCCCUGGCAGCCAACAGUAAGCACAGAGCAACUGAUAAACAUGACUGACUUCUUCCUUUUCUGACCUUCCCACCCCGAGCGUGCACAAGACUGAGCAAGCUCCCAGAAUGGACCGCCAGCAAAAGGGACUCAAGGAAGAAGCCACUGUUCUCCAGGCCCUGGAGAGGCCACCAAAGGAGGAGCCAGCAGCGUUCCCCGGAAUAUUCUAAAACAGGACAAAUCUUCCUCAGUUGUGAUGCACAGCACAGUCUAGAAAGGGGAGGGAAUCAACCAGGGCACUUGCUCUCUGACAAUCAUCCACUGCCACGUGCAGAGGACAAGACUGACAGGGGCGGCUCAUGAGCUCAGCUUGGGGAGUGAUGGUGAUAGACAAAUGCAGCCAAGCACAGACUAAAGAUCACAUGAGGUCAUGACUGGAUGGGGACCUAGUCGCACGCAAAGCCAACCUGUAGCUGCAGAUAACAGAAGACAGCUUGUG